rnacentral:ncRNA from 1 species
GGGACUUACUGUCAGGCAUUUUGUAUAAGCUUCAAAUACGGUGAAGCGUUUCUACAGAGCACCAAUAUUGCUCUUCUAUAAGAUGACCUUAGACCCUA